rnacentral:misc_RNA from 1 species
AACCCCAAUGCAUCAAGAGCAUCUCCUUCUGAGUAAUCAGCCUGAAGGAGAUCCAGAUAUGUAUCCCAUUUGUUACCAAUCACCUUCCCGCAAGUAAAACAACGAACUGGUAUAAUCAUCUUCGCUUGCCCCUCUGCCUCUGUUCUUUCUCUCUUUCUUUGUUUUCCUCUGGUUGGUCAGCGAGUCCCUGAGGAGGAAGGGUUUAUGUUUGUGUAAGAGCUGUUGAGCCUAGGCCUAUUGGGUUGUG